rnacentral:rRNA from 1 species
UACAGAGAGUGCAAGCGUUAAUCAGAAUUACUGGGCGUAAAGCGCGCGUAGGUGGAUACUUAAGUCGGAUGUGAAAGCCCUGGGCUUAACCUAGGAAUUGCAUUCGAUACUGGGUGUCUUGAGUAUGGUAGAGGGAAGUGGAAUUUCCGGUGUAGCGGUGAAAUGCGUAGAUAUCGGAAGGAACACCAGUGGCGAAGGCGGCUUCCUGGACCAAUACUGACACUGAGGCGCGAAAGCGUGGGGAGCAAAC